CAGCAGCCACGGGAAUACGAAGGGUGCAAGCGUUAAUCGGAAUUACUGGGCGUAAAACGUGCGUAGGCGGUGAGUUAAGUCUGCUGUGAAAUCCCCGGGCUCAACCUGGGAAUGGCAGUGGAUACUGGCUCGCUAGAGUGUGUCAGAGGAUGGUGGAAUUCCCGGUGUAGCGGUGAAAUGCGUAGAGAUCGGGAGGAACAUCAGUGGUGAAGGCGGCCAUCUGGGACAACACUGACGCUGAGGCACGAAAGCGUGGGGAGCAAACAGGAUUAGAUACCCCCGUAGUCCCUGUCUCUUAUAC
rnacentral:rRNA from 1 species